UACGUAGGGUCCGAGCGUUGUCCGGAAUCACUGGGCGUAAAGGGCGCGUAGGCGGUUAGUUAAGAUAGAUGUGAAAUCCCUGGGCUUAACCUAGGAACAGCAACUGUGACUGACUAGCUGGAGUACUGGUAGAGGGUAGUGGAAUUUCCGGUGUAAGCGGUGAAAUGCGUAGAGAUCGGAAGGAACACCAGUGGCGAAGGCGGCUACCUGGCGAGUACUGACGCUGAGGAGCGACAGCGUG
rnacentral:rRNA from 1 species